UAACUAAAACCAUGCAACCAAAGAGCCAGCAAUAAUUUUACUCUUCCUGCAAGCAUCCACUCACUGAGACAUUUUCAUGCUACCAGCCACAAUACCACUACUUCAAGAAUUAGCAGCAUUUUGAUUAAGAAUUCCCACUUUGUUACUGGAUUGCAGACAGGAGCAGAGCAAUUUCUCAAAGGAAAUGGAACCAGUCUUUAGCUAGAUGGCUCAUGGAAUGGAAAACAGUCUUUCAAAUGGUCUGUCUUGAUCACUGUCUCAAACCCACAUUACUUAGUAGAAUUUGAAAUAAACAGACACUUGCACUAGCAAAGUACCAGGUCAAAACAGCAGAUGACUAACCAACACAAGAAAUGUGUUACUUUCCUAAUGAUCGCUUUGAAAGGGUCUUUCCUGAUAAGCUGGACAUCCAUCAACUACAAAAAUUACUGCUACAACACUCUUACCUUAUUGUGGAGCACAGUCCAGUAGUGAUCUUUGCUUUUUGAACCAAUUCUUCUAUCCAAAAAUUGGAGGAGAAGAGAUUGCUUCACCAUACAAAGAAACAUCUCAAGAUUCUCUCCAGAAGACCAAAUCCUCCACAAAAAAAUCUAUUUACUUUGGAUGUCCUAAAUGUUUAGACCAUAAAUCUAGAAUGAAAGUAAAUUGCUUGGGUAAUGUACAGUAAUAUCUGGCAUAUAAAGUGAUUUCAGACCAUUCUACAAGGAGUUCAUUCACUCCUUGUAGGCACACCAGCUAGAUUAGUUUUAAAGUUCAAAGGAAACAAAACAUAAGCACUGGCCAGUAUUUUCAAACAUAAAUGCCUAAAUCCAGGUGAAAGAGACAU
rnacentral:lncRNA from 1 species